rnacentral:lncRNA from 1 species
GUGUCACCGGCCAGCUGCUAUGGUUGACAGUGCUGCGCUUGCAUCUCCGUGUCCCACAGCUGUCCACGGCUGGCCUGGCUUUCCCCUCUGAUCUAUCUGCUCAUAGCUCAGAGCCAGCCCGACUGAAGAACUGCCUGACCCAGCGCAGCACAGGGCGUGUGCGGUGGGACGGGAGCUCACUCCAUUACGAGCCGCGGGUGACAGAACGGAGCAGGGAUGCUUGGGUUCAGUUUUAUUGCUUUUGAAUAAGUCCGGGGGCUCCUGGCCACAACCCGGAGCUGAGCCAGCGCGGGGGGCUCUGCCGUAGGCGGGGG